CUAGUUUAUACUAAGUGACCCAUAGGAUGAGGUGGCGGAGGAGGAUGAGGUAGCCAACACUGUUUAUAUAUAUAUAUAUAUAUAUAUAUAUAUAUAUAUAUAUUAAUUGGGGUAGCCCCCAAAAUAUUGAGACAUAUAAAAAAAGACAACUCUGUUCCGCAGAGUAGCUGUUGACAUUAUAGUUGCGCAGGAACUUUGUUGACUCUAGAGAACCUCAGACAAAUUGCACAUCCCCGUGGCGGCGACUUUGCAUGCGGAUGUCAUCCAUAUAAACUUUUGAUGCCAGUUUCUGCGCCUACCAUGGUGACCACGGGUAACAGGGAACCAGGGUUCCAUUCCGUACAGGGACCCUGAGAAACGGCUAUCACAGGCAAGGAAGGCAG